rfam:Rattus norvegicus chromosome 2, whole genome shotgun sequence.
GGGGAUUUAGCUCAGUGGUAGAGCGCUUGCCUAGCAAGCGUGCAAGGCCCUGGGUUCGGUCCCCAGCUCCG